rnacentral:lncRNA from 1 species
GUUUGCUGCACCUAUCAACCUAUCACGUAGAACUUAAGCCAAGCAUGCAUUAGCUAUUUUUCCAAUGCUCUCCUUCCCCCCACCACACCCCCUGAUAGGCCCCUGUGUGUUUUUCCCCUCCCUGUGUCCAUGGGUUCUCAUUCUUCAGCUCCCACUUAUAAGUGAGAACAUGUGGUGUUUGGUUUUCUGUUCCUGUGUUAGUUUGCUGAGAAUAAUGGCUUCUAGCUCCAUUCAUGUUCCUACAAAAGACAUAAUUUCAUUCCUUUUUAUGGCUGCAUAGUAUUUCAUGGUUUCAUUCACAUUUUCUCAGUUGCAAGGUACACAGGGCAUCCAGACUAGGGGGACUGUUUUUAUUUUAGUCGACCCAGUCCUGACAUGAGGUCUGCAGCCUCCACCUCUGCUUCUGAGCCACGAGGUUUGUGGGAGAUGGAACAGCUUCUCUGACCAGAUCUCCACGAGAUUGCUGGGGAAGGGGGAGGUGGCAAUCAGUCUUCACAGUGCUGAGCCUUUUUUUAGGUAAGAGAUAGACAUGCAAAUU